ACACAUGCAGUCGAGGGGUAACAGAUCUUCGGAUGCUGACGACCGGCGAACGGGUGAGUAACACGUAUGCAACUUACCCAUAACUCGGGAAUAGCCCAAAGAAAUUUGGAUUAAUACCCAAUAAUACAGGCGUACCGCAUGGUAUUCUUCGUUAAAGAAUAAUCGGUUAUGGAUAGGCAUGCGUUCUAUUAGGUAGUUGGUGAGGUAACGGCUCACCAAGCCGACGAUGGAUAGGGGAACUGAGAGGUUGUCCCCCCACACUGGUACUGAGACACGGACCAGACUCCUACGGGAGGCAGCAGUGAGGAAUAUUGGUCAAUGGACGAAAGUCUGAACCAGCCAAAUCGCGUGAAGGAAGAAGGUAUUAUGUAUCGUAAACUUCUUUUGUAAGAGAGUAAGGUGCACUACGUGUAGUGUAUUGCAAGUACCUUACGAAUAAGCAUCGGCUAAUUCCGUGCCAGCAGCCGCGGUAAUACGGAAGAUGCAAGUGUUAUCCGGAUUUAUUGGGUUUAAAGGGUGCGUAGGUGGUCUAAUAAGUCAGUGGUGAAAUCUCUUUGCUUAACAAGGAAAUUGCCAUUGAAACUGUUAGACUUGAGAAUGGACGAGGUAGGCGGAAUUCGUAGUGUAGCGGUGAAAUGCAUAGAUAUUACGAAGAACUCCAAUAGUGUAGACUGCUUACCAGACCAUAUCUGACACUAAGGCACGAAAGUGUGGGUAUCAAACAGGAUUAGAUACCCUGGUAGUCCACACAGUAAACGAUGAAUACUAACUGUUUGCGAUAUACAGCAAGUGGUCGAGCGAAAGCGUUAAGUAUUCCACCUGGGAAGUAUGCCGGCAACGGUGAAACUCAAGGAAUUGACGGGGGCCCGCACAAGCGGAGGAACAUGUGGUUUAAUUCGAUAUACGCGAGGAACCUUACCCGGGCUCGAGCGAUAUUUGAAUACAUCC
rnacentral:rRNA from 1 species